CACCCCAAGCAAUGGCAAAAUGACCCUUUGUGGGUGGUGGUGUUAUUUCAGUCAGGGGCAGAGCAGAUGGCAGUCCUCUGUUCAUCCUAGCUUGAUGUCUGUCUCGAUGGCCAAAGCUGUUUUAUACCUAGGACACAUAA
rfam:Mus musculus chromosome 14, GRC primary reference assembly.